rnacentral:rRNA from 1 species
UACGUAGGGUGCAAGCGUUGUCCGGAAUUAUUGGGCGUAAAGAGCUCGUAGGCGGUUUGUCGCGUCGGCUGUGAAAGUCCGGGGCUCAACUCCGGAUCUGCGGUGGGGUACGGGCAGACUAGAGUGAUGUAGGGGGAGACUGGAAUUCCUGGUGUAGCGGUGAAAUGCGCAGAUAUCAGGAGGAACACCGGUGGCGAAGGCGGGUCUCUGGGCUGUAACUGACGCUGAGGAGCGAAAGCGUGGGUAGCGAACAGG